AUGAGGAUCACCAAACAAUGCAACCUGCCACUUUCUUUGGGUAAGCAUUAUCGCUCAAAUGUGUUGUGUGAUGUGGUUGACAUGGAUGCCAGCCAUGUUCUUCUUGGGAGGCCUUGGCAAUUUGAUGUGGAUACUACACACAAGGGCAAGGAAAAUUCUUACUCUUUCAUUUGGAACAAAAGAAGGAUCAUUAUCUUACCAAACAAACCCGAAGGUAAUACCUCUAAGGAGGAGGGGAAAACUAUGUUAACUAUCUCCCAUACCUCUCAUGAGUUUAUGGAAGACUUGAAGGAGGCAGAUUUGUGUGCUGCACUUGUUGUAAAGGGAGAAGAGCACCUGACUGUUGAAAUUCCAGCAAAGGUACGUGGUUUAUUGGCAGAAUUUCAGAACAUACUUGGGGAGCCACAUGGCUUGCCACCGAUGAGAGGAAUUCAACAUAGAAUUGACUUAAUUCCGGGAGCAAGUCUUCCUAAUCUUCCACACUAUCGAAUGAGCCCAAAGGAGCAUGAUAUAUUGAAGGAGAAAGUGGAGGAAUUGUUGCAAAAGGGGCACAUUCGAGAAAGUAUUAGCCCAUGUGCUGUACCAGCCCUACUCGCGCCAAAAAAAGAUGGAUCUUGGCGCAUGUGUACGGACAGUAGAGCCGUUAACAAGAUCACCGUAAGGUAUAGGUUCCCUAUUCCCCGUCUGGAUGAUAUGUUGGAUCAGCUUAGUGGAGCAAGAGUGUUCACAAAGCUAGAUUUAAGAAGUGGAUAUCAUCAAAUCCGUAUAAGACCCGGGGAUGAAUGGAAGACCGCCUUCAAGACAAAGGAAGGGUUGUUUGAAUGGCUAGUCAUGCCAUUUGGACUCUCAAAUGCACCAAGUACCUUUAUGCACUUAAUGAAUCAAGUCCUUAGACCCUUCUUAUCCCACUUUGUUGUGGUCUAUUUCGAUGACAUCUUGAUCUAUAGCAAGGAUGAGGAUGAACACUUUGAUCACAUUCGGAAGGUGCUAGAAGUACUAAGGGAAAAUGAGCUCUACGUCAACUUGAAGAAAUGUGUUUUCCUGCAAACACAACUUCUUUUCCUAGGAUUCGUCAUAACAUGUGACGGCAUUCGUGUUGAUGAUUCUAAGGUUGAAGCAAUUCGAGAAUGGCCAACUCCUAAGACCAUUUCUGAGGUAAGAAGCUUUCAUGGCCUUGCAACUUUCUAUAGGCGAUUUGUUAAGAAUUUCAGCACUAUCAUGGCACCAAUUACCGAGUGUUUGAAGAAAGGAAAGUUCCAAUGGGCAGAAGCAGCUGAAGCUAGUUUCAAUGAGAUUAAACAAAAGCUAUCACAAGCUCCUGUCUUGGUACUACCUGAUUUCAACAAGACUUUUGAGUUGGAGUGUGAUGCAAGUGGAGUAGGCAUUGGAGCUGUCCUAUCUCAAGAAAGGAAGCCCAUUGCUUUCUUUAGUGAGAAGUUAAGUGAAGCUAGACAGAAAUGGAGUACCUAUCAGCAAGAAUUAUACGCCGUUUUCAGAGCGUUGAAAACUUGGGAAGUCUAUUUGCUGCCUAAAGAGUUCAUUGUUUAUAGCGACCAUCAAUCCUUGAAGCAUUUUAGAAAUCAAAAGCAUGUUGACCGCAUGCUAGCAAGAUGGGCAGCAUAUCUUGAGAGGUUUAACUAUCUCAUCGUGCAUAAAUCUGGAAUAACUAACAGAGUGGCCGAUGCUUUGAGUCGUCGUGCAUGCCUCUUGACUUCUUUUGAAGCUGAACUUCCGGGCAUGGGUCAAAUAAAGGAGUUGUAUGAGGGUGACGAAGACUUUGGCCAUGUUUGGGUAAAGCACGCAAGGGGCCAACCAUUAGGUGAUGACUAUUUGAUGCAAGAUGGAUAUCUCUUCAAAAAUGAUCGUUUGUGCAUUCCAAGAAGUUCUCUACGUGACAAGCUGGUUAGAGAGCUCCAUUCAAGUGAUCUUAGUGGCCAUGUUGGACGGGACAAGACUAUCGCUAACCUGGAAGCUCGCUACUUUUGGCCACAACUAAAGAGAGAUGCUGGAAAGUUCGUUCAACGGUGCCACGUAUGUCAGACCUGCAAAGGCCAAGUCCAGAACACAGGGUUAUACAUGCCUUUGCCUGUUCCUGUUGCUCCAUGGGAGGACAUUUCUAUGGACUUCGUCUUGGGCUUGCCAAGAACAAGACGAGGAAGUGAUGCUGUAUUUGUGGUCGUGGAUAGAUUCUCUAAGAUGGCUCAUUUCAUCCCAUGCCGCAAGACAACGGAUGCUCAUCAUGUGGCAAACCUAUUCUUUCGAGAAGUGGUCAGACUUCAUGGAGUUCCAAGGUCCAUUGUCUCAGACCGUAAUAGCAAGUUUCUUGCUGCAUUUUGGCUCACUUUGUGGAAGCAAUUCAACACUGAAUUGAAAUUUUCUAGCACUGCUCAUCCACAAACAGAUGGACAAACGGAAGUGGUGAACAAGUUUUUGGGUAAUCUGAUCCGUUGCAUUUGUGGAGAAAGAAAGGGGCAAUGGGAUUUGGCUUUAUCUCUUGCAGAGUUCUCCUACAAUAACUCCAAGCAUAGAUCCACAGGAAGGAGCCCUUUUUCCAUUGUCUACACUAAAGUUCCAACACAUGUGGUGGACCUGGUGAAGCUGCCAUCAAGGGGAAACUCAAAAUCAGCAUUGUCCUUUGCUGAUAAUUACACCGAGUUAUUUGAAGAGAUUCGCGGCGCUUUGGAAGCACAAAAUCAGAAAUAUAAACAACUUGCUGAUUGCAAAAAGAGGCCAAAAUCAUUCCAAGUCGGUGAUAAGGUGAUGGUAUACCUCCGAAAAGAGAGGCUGCCUUUAGGUGUUAAAGGGAAACUUAGGCAGCGAAGGUAUGGGCCCUUCUCUAUCAUGAGGAAGAUAAAUGAUAAUGCUUAUGUGAUAGAUCUUCCAAGUGACAUGGGUAUCUCCAACACUUUCAAUGUUGCGGACUUGACUCUCUACCAUCCAGAAAAAGCGCUCUAUGAAGAUAACUCGAGGGCGAGUUCCAAACAACCAGGGGAGAAUGAUGAGGAACACUAG
rnacentral:rRNA from 1 species